CCGCCGGUUUGAUCUGGAAUUAGGUGAGGGCUUUGUCCACUACCUCAUUGGUUUAUUUGAAGUGUGAUCGCUCCUUCUUGCUUUGUUUUUAGAUUUCUGUUCUUGUUCUUUGAUGUAAUUUAUGUUUUUAUGGUCUUGUUCUCUAUGCUUUGUUAAAGUUGUGUGUUAUGGCCAUUGAUAAAAUGCAGUUAUGUGUUACUUUUUACUGAAACAGACAUCAUCUGAGACCCAGUUGAGCUAGCAACAAUGUCCUCCAUGCGAUAUUAGCAACUGUUCAGGGUUUAUAAGUCUCUUGCAGCCAGUUUGAUUAAUUAUGCCCUCGUAUUUGGACAUUGUUGCUUGAUCCAUAUCAGAGAAGGAAGUUGGUGAUCGGAUGAUUGCACGGUUGCAACAGUUGACGAAAUUUGACAACUUGCAGUGACAGCAACGUGCUUUAAAGAACUCAUUCACAAGGCACGUGUGGGAGAAGACAACCGGAAGGAAUCAAUUAUUUGUCAUACCUCAUGAGAAAAUACUCCAUUCUAUUCUGAAGUGGAAUUUUGGAUGAUAUAUGACUCUUAGUGUCCAACACCAUGUUCCCUCACUGGUCAAGGUUCUAAUGAAGAUCGUGUUCAUGCAUUUGGUGUCAACUAUCAAAGUUUAGUUCUAUUAACUAUAUAAGCCCAUGGAGAGUAGGUAAUCAUUUUUUGCUUCUGGACAGACUUAUGAACAUGUCUGUAUUGAGGAAUGUAUCACUGAUGGACAGCUCUUGCCCCAAGACUCAGUAGAAACUCUAUGUUAUGUUUCUAAUUGACACUGAGGGUGCCUUUUAAAGCCUUGCCCCAAGAUUGAUCAUUAAAAUUGGUUUGAUAACUUUAACAGGUUCGAGUAAUUCAGUUACUCUUGUGAGAAGUGGGACUAGUGACAGGAAAUCAGAUGCUGUCAAUUUGGAGAUAUGUGGUGGUUGUAGCAGCUCCAUCAAUACCACCACUUCUUGGUCUCUGCUUGUAUGGUCAAGCUCACAGUCCAGUGAAUCUGUUCAUUAUUCUUUGUUGUUGAGAACAGAGAAAAGGCUCCUUUUUGGAAAACCAUGCAAUAUUACUUGCGGCUACCACUAGUCCAAAAGUAACAUACAGUACAGCAAUUUGACUACUAACAAAAUGGUAAAACCGAAGGAUCAUCAGGUCCCUAUAUCUUCAGACGCGGAGAUCUGAUUCUGUAAGUGCUGUUCUGCAGCGCCUUAUGUUCCAUAGGCCAAAGCCAUUCGA
rnacentral:lncRNA from 1 species